rnacentral:lncRNA from 1 species
AUUGACUUAGGUCCAUUAUGGAACGCGCGUUUGUGUCCACUUGAUCUGUCACCUCAAUUAAUGAGGGAGAUCAAGUGGCUCACAUUUUUUUGAUUUUUUGAUUUUUAUUUUAAUUCAUUUGAUUUUCAUUAAUUCAUAUUAAUUUUAAUAUUGAUCCAAAAAAUAUGAGAGUUUCACCAAUUUUUUUAAAAUAAAAUCCUCUUUCAUAUUUUGAAUGAAAAUUAUUUUUUGGAUCAUUAUUAAUAUUUUUCAUGAUUUAGUUGAUUUUGUGAUUAUUUUUAAUUGUUUAAAAAUACUUUUAAGUCUUUA